rnacentral:rRNA from 1 species
CCUACGGGAGGCAGCAGUCGAGAAUCAUUCACAAUGGGGGAAACCCUGAUGGUGCGACGCCGCGUGGGGGAAUGAAGGUCUUCGGAUUGUAAACCCCUGUCAUGUGGGAGCAAAUUAAAAAGAUAGUACCACAAGAGGAAGAGACGGCUAACUCUGUGCCAGCAGCCGCGGUAAUACAGAGGUCUCAAGCGUUGUUCGGAAUCACUGGGCGUAAAGCGUGCGUAGGCUGUUUCGUAAGUCGUGUGUGAAAGGCGCGGGCUCAACCCGCGGACGGCACAUGAUACUGCGAGACUAGAGUGAUGGAGAGGGAACCGGAAUUCUCGGUGUAGCAGUGAAAUGCGUAGAUAUCGAGAGGAACACUCGUGGCGAAGGCGGGUUCCUGGACAUUAACUGACGCUGAGGCACGAAGGCCAGGGGAGCGAAAGGGAUUAGAUACCCCAGUAGUC